UUGUACGUGAUGCACAAAAAUAAAAUUCAAAUAAAAUUUAAAUAUUAGUUUUUAAUUAUUUUUCUGCGCCAUAUUAAUAUCUAAGACGGUAUGCAUAUAAAUUGUAGUUAUUUAAACUGAAUUCGGCUAUUUCUAUAUAUUUUUAAUAUUUAUAUUGUUGUGAAUAAAUUAAUCAUAUACAUAUAAGUAAGAUAUUCUGUGUUUACGCCACACUACAUUGUAGCUUAUAAUGUAGUCAUUCAAUUCGUCUAUAUGUAGUUUGUUGCCUCAUCUAAAUCUCAAAAAAUGCAUAUGUAUUAAGUCAAGUCUUUAUACAGCUGUUAAAAUACACCACAAACUAGAAUUGAACUUUUUCCAGCAAUUUUUUUUUCUCUAUGGAUCAGUGACGUGACGACGUCGGUAAAACUACAAGAUUUUUGUAUUUAUCCGGCAUAGAAGAGAAAAAAAAAGUAAAAAAAGAAAAUAAUUACAAGUUUUUAAUAAAAAUAUUCAGAAAUAAAAUUAAAAAAAAAUAUAUGGAUAUUUCAUUUUAAUUCAAUGGACUAUAUGUGUAUAUUUAUUACAUUUUGAGAAACGUGGUAAAUAUUGUGAGUGGUAAAUAAAAAAAACAAAAAAUUAAAAUUAAAAGUGAAAAAUUAAAAAAAGCCGACAAAAUAAAAAUUUUUUUUAAAAAAUAAAAUCAUAAAUUUAUUUUCAAAAAAUAUUUUAAAGUGUGAAUAUUUAUAUUUGCAUAUUAUACAGUUAUAAUACAUACAUGUAUGUAUACAGUAUGUAUGCCUAAGUAUAUAUCUAAAUGUCAUCAUAUUUUAGAUUAUCCUACGUACAUUUUGAACGCAUACAAUCACAUAUAAAUAUUUCAACUUUUUAUAAAACGAAUAUAUUACGUAUUGGUGAUGUUGUAUGUAUGUAACUAACUAGUAUACGUUACGUGUAUGGUAAAUAUAAUAUAUUCUAUGUAUAGUGUGUCCUAUAUUAUUAUAAAUAUAAAUUUGUAUAGAACAUAUUAAUAACGGUGUUGAAUGUAACAAGAAAACAAAAACCAGAAAAUAAAGAAAAUAUUUUAACUGCAAAUAAUAAAAUAAACAAACGAUUGAAUUGUAUGUGAUGAACAUGAACGCAUAGAACACGUUCAGGUAUAAACGCACAGGUGUUAUAUUUUGUGAAACGAAUUAAUCAAAUAAAAAUUCGAUAGUGAUUAAAUUGAAAAGAAAAUAUUUUAAAACAUUAUAAAAAGUAUAAUGUAAAAAAAAAAAGUCAGAAAGAGGAAAUAAUUAAUAAUAGUAAUAAAAAACAAACACAAUAAACAAAGAAAAAAAAAACCAAAAACCAAUUAAAGAAAUUAUUGAAAAGAUUCAUUUUAUAAAAAAUCUACUUAUACACCUGUACAUUUCUAUAAUUAACUGUGUAUUUAAUUAUUUUAUAAAAUAUAAAAAUUCAGUAAAGAAAAAUAAAACCAACUUUUAUAGUAAAGGGUUCGAAAAUUUUGAAAUUUUUAUAAAGAAAAAAUUUUAAAUAAAAUUUAAACACCUCUCAGAGAUUACAUAGGUUCACGAAAAUUUCAAAUUAAAUUUAAUUGAAUAUACAAGAAAAGAUUACAAAAAAAAAAGACUUCACAUUUCAGUCAAACACAUACACAUACGGAAAAAUUAUUAAAGAGAAAAAUAUAAAAAAAAAAUUUUCUCGUUGUGCAAAAUAAAAUAACGGUUAUUGGUUCCAAUUCAAUACAAUUAAAACUUGUUAAAAGAAAAUUACAAAUAAAAAAAAAAAUAUAUAAAAAAAAUUGCAUUAUUAAAAAAGUUUCUGUUCGCAUUUUUACAUUUUAAUAACAGAUUUAUAUUUAUUUUUCACAAAAAAAAAUAUAACAAUUGUAUUAUUAAAUAAAAUAUACAAAACUGUAAAAUUCAUUCUCUUUACAAUAUUAACAGUAAAAUCAACAAAAAAUAAAAAAUUGUAAAUCUGAAUACUUUUUAUUUUUUAAUUUAAAAUUGUAAAAUUAUUAUAAUUUUAUUUCCCCAUAUUUAAUAUUGAUUUCAAAGAAUUAAAUAACAAUAAAUAUUGUUAUAAUUAUUAUUAAAAAUAUAUUUAAAUACUAAAAGUUAAGUGAGUACACUAAAUAAAAUAAAAUAAUAUUUUUAAAAAAUCAAUUUAAAUUUUUAACAAUAACAACAAAAAGUGAUUAUAAAAAGUGAUUAAAUUUUUUGUUUCAUUUUUGUUGAUUCGCGCAAUAUAAAAGAAUAAUAGUUUUAUCGGACAAAACAAAA